GUCGCUGUAGCUCAAACAGGCUAGAGUCCCAGGGCUGAGCAGUAGAGUGUACAAACCCAGCAUAUUGCCGGGUUCUACUCUCAGAGAGUGUCCUGGAUCAUGCGGGUUCAAGUCCCGCCGGCGACACCA
rnacentral:tRNA from 1 species